UGGGAUGACUCUUCCCUUUGUACAUUUGAGGAGGCUGUUCAAUCUUAGGAGUUAGCUCUCUACCAGGCCACUCAUCAUUUUUGGCCCACCACAGAGAAAUGUCAUAACAAAUGCAUCAGUUCUGCUCUUAGAAAGUUCAAUGUGAUGGAGGAUAAAAACACCUACAUGGGAUGCUAUUGUGAGUUGGGUGAAAAAGAAGACGGGACCUGGUAUAUAUAACCUAUCGACAGUAGAGGAAGCAGAACGUAUAUUGACUGUUGAACCUAAAGUAGUUUUGGGCUUCCUCGACUCUCUAGUGGUAUUUCUUGAAUCUCAAC